GACGAACGCUGGCGGCGUGCCUAAUACAUGCAAGUAGAACGCUGAAGGAGGAGCUUGCUUCUCUGGAUGAGUUGCGAACGGGUGAGUAACGCGUAGGUAACCUGCCUGGUAGCGGGGGAUAACUAUUGGAAACGAUAGCUAAUACCGCAUAAUAGUAGAUGUUGCAUGACAUUUGCUUAAAAGGUGCAAUUGCAUCACUACCAGAUGGACCUGCGUUGUAUUAGCUAGUUGGUGAGGUAACGGCUCACCAAGGCGACGAUACAUAGCCGACCUGAGAGGGUGAUCGGCCACACUGGGACUGAGACACGGCCCAGACUCCUACGGGAGGCAGCAGUAGGGAAUCUUCGGCAAUGGACGGAAGUCUGACCGAGCAACGCCGCGUGAGUGAAGAAGGUUUUCGGAUCGUAAAGCUCUGUUGUGAGAGAAGAACGAGUGUGAGAGUGGAAAGUUCACACUGUGACGGUAUCUUACCAGAAAGGGACGGCUAACUACGUG
rnacentral:rRNA from 1 species